rnacentral:rRNA from 1 species
UACGAAGGGGGCUAGCGUUGUUCGGAAUUACUGGGCGUAAAGGGCGCGUAGGCUGUGCUGUAAGUCAGGCGUGAAAGGCCCGGGCUCAACCUGGGAACUGCGCUUGAUACUGCGGCGCUUGAAGACGGGAGAGGAUGGCGGAAUUCCUGGUGUAGCGGUGAAAUGCGCAGAUAUCAGGAAGAACACCCGUGGCGAAGGCGGCUUUCUGGGACGGUACUGACGCUGAGACGCGAAAGCGUGGGGAGCGAACAGG